rnacentral:tRNA from 1 species
AGUCCUGUGGCGCAGUGGUAGCGCGCUGCUCUUAUAUUUCUCUGUUGCAAGACGGAUAGGUAUGAGCCAUCUAUGCUAUGCAGAUGUCGUGGGUUCGAUCCCCACCAGGACUA